CACUCCUACGGGAGGCAGCAGUGGGGAAUAUUGGACAAUGGGCGCAAGCCUGAUCCAGCCAUGCCGCGUGAGUGAUGAAGGCCCUAGGGUUGUAAAGCUCUUUCACCGGUGAAGAUAAUGACGGUAACCGGAGAAGAAGCACCGGCUAACUUCGUGCCAGCAGCCGCGGUAAUACGAAGGGGGCUAGCGUUGUUCGGAUUUACUGGGCGUAAAGCGCACGUAGGCGGACUAUUAAGUCAGGGGUGAAAUCCCGGGGCUCAACCCCGGAACUGCCUUUGAUACUGGUAGUCUUGAGUUCGAGAGAGGUGAGUGGAAUUCCGAGUGUAGAGGUGAAAUUCGUAGAUAUUCGGAGGAACACCAGUGGCGAAGGCGGCUCACUGGCUCGAUACUGACGCUGAGGUGCGAAAGCGUGGGGAGCAAACAGGAUUAGAAACCCGAGUAGUCCCA
rnacentral:rRNA from 1 species